CGGGGUGAGUAAUGUCUGGGAAACUGCCUGAUGGAGGGGGGUAACUACUGGAAACGGUAGCUAAUACCGCAUAACGUCGCAAGACCAAAGUGGGGGACCUUCGGGCCUCAUGCCAUAAGAUGUGCCCAGAUGGGAUUAGCUAGUAGGUGGGGUAACGGCUCACCUAGGCGACGAUCCCUAGCUGGUCUGAGAGGAUGGCCAGCCACACUGGAACUGAGACACGGUCCAG
rnacentral:rRNA from 1 species